rnacentral:rRNA from 1 species
CAGUCGCCGCGGUAAUACGAAGGGGGCUAGCGUUGCUCGGAAUGACUGGGCGUAAAGGGCGCGUAGGCGGCUGUUACAGUCAGACGUGAAAUUCCUGGGCUCAACCUGGGGGCUGCGUUUGAUACGUGAUGGCUUGAGUUCGGAAGAGGGUCGUGGAAUUCCCAGUGUAGAGGUGAAAUUCGUAGAUAUUGGGAAGAACACCGGUGGCGAAGGCGGCGACCUGGUCCGAUACUGACGCUGAGGCGCGAAAGCGUGGGGAGCAAACAGGAUUAGAUACCCCAGUAGUCCCUGUCUCUUAUAC